GCCGCCGCCCCGCGUUGCCAGGGCAGCGGCGGCAGGAGCAGCUCCGGCAGCCAUGAGCAGGAAGGGGCUGAAGGUCCUGGUGGAGUCGCUGACCCGAUCCGCCAAGCACUUUAACAAAAGCGAAGUGGAAUGUCUGGUCAAGCUCUUCGACACGAUGGUGGCCAAGGCCAGCAGCGAGUAUGCUGGGGCCGGCUUCGACCGCACCGUGUUCCGAGACAUCCUGUACAACGCCUUCGGCAUGACGGAUGACGUGGUGAUGGACCGAGUGUUCAGCAUUUUUGAUAAAGACAACAAUGGCUACAUCACUGUGACGGAAUGGGUGGAAGGCUUAGCAGUGUUACUUCGGGGGACACUGGAAGAGAAGAUGAAACUCUGUUUUACCAUUUAUGACCUGAAUGGUGAUGGAUACAUUUCGAGAGAGGAAAUGUUUCAAAUGCUGAAAAACAGCCUUCUCAUACAACCAGCAGAUGAAGAACCUGAGGAGGGAGUUAAGGACUUGGUAGAGAUAGCACUGAAGAAAAUGGACCAUGAUCAUGAUGGCAAGCUUUCUUUUACGGACUUUGAAAAAGCAGUCAGAGAUGAAAACCUUCUCUUAGAAGCCUUUGGACCCUGUUUCCCAGACAUAAAGAGCACGGUCUUAUUUGAACAGAAAAUUUUCCGUGAAACUCAUAAAUAGUAACUGAAGUUGAAAAAGUUGAAACUCCAUUGCUGCAUACUUUUAAAAGAGAAACCAGAUACAAGUAGCACACUGGAGUCAGCAGGACUACCUGCAAAGUUACCAUGCCUUCACAUGUGGGGAAAAAAAAAAGUGGCUUACUAAAUAUCAUGUAAGAUCAUGCACUGACAUUUACACUUUCUCAAGUGUAGUGUAAGAGGUGUGCAGUAGAAUUGCCUACAGUAUUCUAGAUUGUGGAAAAGUUAAAUAGUAAGAGCACUAGCUUUAAAUGGCAGAUAAACUGCUAAUGAGUAAAUCCUGAAUAAAGCUGUUAGAGAGUCACUAAUUUUAUGGAUAACAAACACCUA